GGAUGAGUUCAUGUCCUUUGCAGGGACAUGGAUGAAGCUGGAAACCAUCAUUCUAAGCAAACUGUCACAAGGACAGAAAACCAAACACCGCAUGUUCUCACUCAUAGGUGGGAGUUUUACAAUGAGAUCACUUGGACACAGGGCAGGGAACAUCACACACCGGGGCCUGUCGCGGGGUGGAGGGUAGGGGGAGGGAUAGCAGUAGGAGAAAUACCUAAUGUAAACGACGAGUUGAUGGGUGCAACAAACCAACAUGGCACUUGUAUACCUAUGUAACAAACCUGCACGCUGUGUACAUGUACCCUAGAACUUAAAGUAUAAUAAUAAAAAAGAGUUAAAAAAAAGAAAAGAAAAAAGAAUAUAUGGUGUAAACAUACAACAGGAUAUUAGUCCUUAAAAAGAAGAAAAUUCUGUUAUAUGCUACAAUAUGAAUGAACCUCGAAGACACUAUGCUAAGUGAAACAAUUCGUCACAAAAAGACAAAUACUGCAUGAUUCCACUUAUGUGAGGUAUCUAAAGUAGUCAAACUCUUUGAAACAGAAAGUAGAAUAGUAGGCCAGGUGCAGUGACUCAUGCUUAUAAUCUCAGUGACUCACACCUGUAAACCCAGUACACUUUGGUAGGCCAAGGCCAGUAGAUCACUUGAGGCCAGGAAUUCAAGACCAGCCUGGCUAAUGUAGUGAAACCCUGUCUCUACUAAAAUUACAGAAAUUAACCAGGCCUGGUGGUGUGUGCCUAUAAUCUCAGCUACUUGGGAGGCUGAGGCAGGAGAAUCACUUGAACCCAGGAAGUGGAGGUUGCAGUGAGCCAAGAUUACACCAGUGCCCUCUAGCCUGGUUGAUAGAGUGAGACCCUGUCUCAAAAAAAAAAAAAAAAAAAAAAAGGAAGUAGAAUGGUAGUUGCCAGGGGAGGGUGGUGGGGGUAAAGGGGAGUUGUUGACUGGAUACAGAAUUUCAGCUUUGCAAGAUGAAAAAGUUCUACACCCCAGGUAUUGGAGUUCAUGCCUGUAAUCUCAGCACUUUGGGAGGGCCAGGGUGGGAGGAUCGCUUGAGCCCAGGAGUUCAACACCAGCCUGGACAACAAAGUGAGACCCUGUCUCUACAAAAAAUCAAACAAUUAGCUGGGCAUGGUGUCACACACCUGUGGUCCCAGACACGUGGGAGGCUGAGACAGGAGGCUUGCCCAAGACCAGAAGGUCAAGGCUGCCACUGCACUCCAGCCUAAGCAAUACAGCAAGACCCAGUCUCAAAAAAAAUAAAUAAAUAAAAAUAAAGGAAAAAAAUUAUAUCCUUUGGACAACGUAUCUAGUUAACAUUACUGUACUAUACAUGUGAAAUGGGUUAAGAUGAUACAUUUUAUGUGUUUUUUACAGUAAAAAAAAUGUUGCCCAGGUCACAACCCAGAGCAAACAAAUCAUCAUCUCUGUAGGCUGGAGCUCAGGGAUUAGUUGCUUUUAUUUUAUUUUAUUAUUUAUUUAUUUAUUUGUUUAUUUUUUGAGACAGAGUCUCACUCUGUCACCCAGGCUGGAGAGCAGGGGCGGGAUCUCGGCUCACUGCAAGCUCCACUUCCCAGGUUCACGCCAUUCUCCUGCCUCAGCCUCCCGAGUAGCUGGGACUACAGGUGCCCGCCACCACGCCCAGCUAAUUUUUUGUAUUUUUAGUAGAGACGGGGUUUCACCAUGUUAGCCAGGAUGGUCUCCAUCUCCUGACCUCAUGAUCCGCCCACCCCGGCCUCCCAAAGUGCUGGGAUUACGGGCGUGAGCCACCGUGCCCAGCCAGUUGCUUUAUUUUUUAAGUUUCUUGGUGAUUCCAGCGUGCAGACAAGUUUGAGAACCGCCAGUCUGGAUGAUGUCAGAUGAACAGCAGCAUACACACACAUACACACAUAUACGGGAGAUAAUAAGGCCUGGGGUUAGUGUUCGGCAAAGGGGUUUCCAAGAGAAGAUGCCAGGAGGGCAGUGGGAGAAAUGGUUCCAGGGCUCAGAAAAGGUGUCUGGGAGAAAAAUGGAGAUGCAGGAGCCAUGAUAAGGUGAAGGGAUGAAACUGUCCAGGGAAAACGCAUAAAAAGAGAAGAGGAAAAGCUUUUAGGGAAUAAGCCUGAGACACGCCAACAAUUAAGAAACAGGCAAAGGAAGAGAAGCUUGACAAGGAGGAGCCAGAGAGGCAGGAGGAAGACCAAGGGUGGGCAAGGUGAUGGAAGCCCAGGGAAGAGAACAUUUAGGAAGGUUCCCUCCUGACUUUUCCAGUGGUUAGCCCACUAUUGGUCCACAAGCAAGUGAUCUUACUCCCUGAGCCUCAGUUUCCCCGUGUGUAAAAUGAGAACAAUGAUGACACCUCCUAGGCUUGCUGUGGGAAUUUUAUGAAGUAAUGUGUUAUGAGGGACUGAGCGAGUGCUCAGCACCAGCAUUCCAGCAAGAGGAGCUGGCGCUGGGCCAUGUCUUACGCUGAGAGGAGACAACAGAGUAAGAUGAUGAUUCAAACUUCCCACUGGCUUUCAUAAAGUGGACGUUCCCGGUGCCUUCAGGGGAUUGAGGAAAGUACCGAUCAGAUAGUAAUAAAGCAAGAAAGUGGAAACGGAGUAGGUGGCUCAGGCUCUGACAAGUGCGUGGAUGUGGCUUCUAGUCUUAAAUGGUAUAUAUAUCUAGCAGCCUCCACUCCAUGUCUUUCCCAAAUUCCAAUUAAAACAUAAAGACACAGUAAGAGUUGAAAACCUACACCAUCACCAUAAACUAGUCUUGACAGCUGAUCGCCAGAAUGGGGGCUGGAGAGUAGAGUGGCACAUUUCUACUUAUGAUCAAGGCAGUGGGACUAGAUCAAAAAGUGCAAUUGUAAUGAACCCCUAGGCUACACUGCCCACAGAGUGGCAUUGCCUCCCAUUCUAAAAAUAACUCAAAAAAAUCCUUUAUUCCUCCCUUCAGUGUCUGACCCUUUAAAAAAAAAAAAAAGCCAAGUCUUUGUCAAGUGGACAAUGCACAGCCAGCACUCUACUGCAGAGCUGCUUUCGAGGAAGAGUGCUCUUCCCUAUCCCCCGGGGGCGCUUCUCAGCCAAAAUUCACUUUGAGACGGCAGCUCCCAGAAAAGGCCUGAGCACAAAGGCGAGAGGAGUGAUGAAGCAUUCUAGGAGGUGGCAAAGUUCCUUGCGAAUACAGAUGGGGCAGAGAUGGAAAAGGAGGCUAGAAAUGUCCAUUUUUGAGCUACAUUUGUGGAAAGCAUCAGAUGGCCAGGAUAGAGAGGUAGAAGAUGGUUCCAUCUCAGCUCCGAAGAGAUAAUUAGAUGAAAGCCUGAUAAAUCCUGCUAGUGGAGCUAAAAACUAACACCAAGCACCGGCUCUCCAGCUGUAGAUUUGGGAUGGGAAUCAGCCAGCACCCAAGUGGGGCCAAAGUUACAGCAGAUAGUACUGGAAACCUAGUCAACAGCCUUGUCCCCCUUUCCUGCUAGCUGAGCUGAAUUUUUGGUUCAUAGUCUACUGUCUCCCCAUAGGUGACUUGGGUAACUUCUGGCUGUUCUAAGACAUUUGUGUGCACUCAUUCCCUUUGCCAGUGAAUGGUUUAGGGUUGGGCUUACAAUCCAGUUCUGGCCAACAAAAGAAGUUAGCUGGGGACAGGGGAUUCAGAGAAAAGUUUCUUGCUUUUAAAAAGAUACCUGCAAGGAAGAAACAGUUCUUUUUCUGCCUCUGAAUGGUAAGGAUGUGAUGUCUGGAGCUGCUGCAGCCACCUUGCUACCAUGAGGGAACCAGCCUAUGUGAUGAGAAUGGCAGAGUGGACAGACAGAAAAAACCUAGGUCCUUGAGGACACUUUUGAGCUGCUGAAUGAACCAAGCUUUAACUCUAGCCCUCUUAUGUGAGCUAAGAAAUCAUUUAAGUUAAAGUCAGUUAGGGCCCAGCACUGUGGCUCAUGCCUAUAAUCCCAGAGCUUUGAGAGGCAUAGAUGGGGGUCUUGCUUGAGGCCAGGAGUUAGAGACCAGCCUGGGCAACAUAGCAAUACUCCGUCUCUACAAAACAAUUUAAAAAGAAAAAAAAGUUAGCUAGGCAUGUUGGCAUGCCUGCAGUCCUAGCCACUUGGGAGGCUCAGGCGGGAGGAUCACCUGACCCCAGGAAUUUGAGGUUACAGUGAGCCUAUGAUCAUGCCACUGCACUCCAGCCUGAGUGACAGAGUAAGACCUUGUCUCUAAUAAUAAUAAUAUAAUAAUAAUAAUAAAAUAAAAUCAGUUAGACUGAGAUUUAUUGUUACUUGCAGCUGAAAACCUCAUAACUAAUUCAAAGGGCAAUUCACGCAUCUUUUUUGUUGUUGUUGACAAACACCAGCUAUUUCCUUACUCAAGAACAAGUAAACAGAAAAUACCAGAAAUUGGGUAUAUGAAAAAAUAUUUCAGAAUAAGAGAAUAGGAACAUUAUUCUGAAGACUCAGGAGAAGUAGAUCUUGAAAAGUGAUUUAAUAUGAUAGAGAGUAAGUAAAACGCUCUGGCACUUUAAGAAGAAAGAAAACACAGCCUCCACCAACUAUGUACAGAAGGUCAUAAGGAGAAAACAGGUGGAGAAGAAAAAGAAACGAGAUGAGAUAAAAAUGGAGAAACUGAGAAGGGCUGGGUGAAGAAACUAAAAGUGCAUCAGCAAAAUUGAAAUAUUUAAAAUAAAAUUCAUUACAAAUACAAGGAAUUUUAACAAAAUCACAAACAGAAUGCAAAAUGAACCCCUCUCAGUCUUUGGAACAUCAAGUAAAAAAUAAGAAGGAACCACAACUGAAUAAUAACUCGUGAUGGUUUAACUGAUGAUUGUUUUACCAUGGUGUAAAAGCAAUACAACCAUUCUAUUUUUGCACUUUCAGUACAGUGUUCAAUAAAUUACAUGAUACUCAGUGUAAAAUACUCAUUGUAAAAUAGGUGAUUUCGCCCACCUGUAGGCUAAUGUAAGUGUUCUGGGCAUGUUUAAAGUAGGCUAGGCUAAGGUAUGAUAUCUGGCAGGCUAGGUGCAUUAAAUGCAUUUUUGACUUAUAAUAUUUUCAACUUAUAAUAAGCCCAAUGGGACAUAAGCCCGUCAUUAAGUUGAGGAACAUCUGUGUAUAUAUAGAUAGAUAUAGAUAUAUAAAGACAGAGAGAGAAAGAACUACACCAUAAAAUAGUGCACAUUGUUUUAAAGUAGCCAUGAAAUAGUUUAAAAAUUUUUACCACGUACAAACCUCCAUGAAGCACUACAAUCAGCAACGUAAAGACAAACAAAAUAAAAGCAAGUCAUCUGGAAAUAAAAGCACAUCCUCUAAAAUAAUUUGAUUCAAAACUACAACACUAAAAGAAAACACAGAAAUGUUAACCUUGGACUAAGCAAUGGUUUCUUAGCGAUGACACCAAAAGCACAAGCAACCAAAGAAGAAAUAAAUAAAUUUGACUUCAUCAAAAUUAAAAGCUUUUGGCCGGGCACAGUGGUUCACUCCUGUAAUCCCAGCCCUUUGGGAGGCUGAGGCGGGUGGAUCACGAGGUCAGGAGUUCGAGACCAGCCUGGCCAACAUGGUAAAACUGUCUCAACUAAAAAUACAAAAAAAAAAAAAAAUUAGCUGGGUGCGUCAGUGUGUGCCUGUAAUCCCAGCUACUCGGGAGGCUGAGGCAGGAGAACCAUUUGAACCCAGGAGGCACAGGUUGCAGUGAGCAGAGAUCAUGCCACUGCACUCCAGCCCAUCUAAAAAAAAAAAAAUAGCUGGAUGUGGUGGUGUGCACCUGUAGUCCCAGCUACUCUGGAGGCUGAGGCAGGAGAAUCGCUUGAACCCAGGAGGUAGAGGUUGCAGUGAGCCAAGAUUGCACCACUGUACGCCACCCUGGGCAACAGAGCAAGACUCCAUCUUGGGGAAAAAAAAAAAGAAACUAAAAGCUUUUGUGAUUGAAAGGCUAUUCUCAAUAAAGUGAAAGCCAAACCACAGAGUGGGAGAAAAUAUUCACAAAUCAUGUAUCUGACAAGGUUUGUAUGGGUUAAAUUGUGUCUCCAAAAAAGAUAUGUUGAAGUCCCAACCACCACUUCCCAUCUCAGAAUGUGAUCUUAUUUUUACAGAGGUAAUCAAGUUAAAAUGAGGUCAUUAGUGUGGGCCCUAAUCCAAUAUGACUGGCAUCUUCAUGAAAAGAAGAAUUUGAACACAGAGAAAAACACCUAGAGAGAUGAUGAUGUGAAGACACAGGGAGAAGACAGCCAUGUGACUAGAGUGAUGCGUCUGCGAGCCAAGGAACACCAAGGAUUGCCAGGAAACAUAAGAAGCUGAAAGGCAGGGAAGGGUCCUCCUCUAGAAUCAUCAGAGGCAGCGUGGCUCUGACGACACCUUGAUUUUGCAAUACAUUUGUUUUAGGCCAGCCAGUUUUUUGGCACCUUGUUAGAGCAACCCUGGGAAAUGAACACAAGGGUCUAGUGUCUGUAAUACAUAUCUAUAGUUAUAAUAUAACUUAAUGACAAAAAGAAAACCCUGCACAGGAAAAGAUGUUCAAUAUCAUUAGUUAUUAGGGAAAUGCAAAUCAAAGCCACAAUGAGAUAUUACCUCACAUCUGCUAGGAUGGCUACUGUUUAAAAGACAAACAAUAACAAGUAUUGGUGAGGAGGCAGAGAAACUUGGACCCUUGUACUUUGCAGGUAGGAAUGCAAAAUGGUAGAGCUGCUUUGAAAAAGUUGGUAAUUCCUCAAAAAGUUAAAAAGUUAUUAUAUGUAUUAGUCAGCUCAGGUUACCAUAAAAAGAAACCACAGACCUUUAAUAACAAAGGUGGCUUUCAAGCCAGGCAUGGUGGCUCAUACCUGUAAUCUCAGCAUUUUGGGUGGCCAAGGUAGGUGGAUCACCUGAGGCCAGGAGUUUGAAACCAACCUGGCCAAUAUGGGGAAACCCUGUCUCUGCUAAAAAAUACAAAUAUUAGCCAGGCGUGGUGGCACGCACCUAUAAUCCCAGCUACUUGGCAAGCUGAGGCUUGAGAAUUGCUUGAACCUGGGAAGCGGAGGUUGCAGUGAGCUGAGAUCGCACCACUGCACUCCAGCCUGGGUGACAGAGGAAGACUGUCUCAAAAAAUACAUAAAUAAAUAACAAAGGUGGCUUUCCUAACAAAAGCCACCUUUGGCUUUCAUAACAAAAAUUUAUUUUCUCACACUUCUGGAGGCUAGAAGUCCCAGGUCAAGAGGUCAGCAGAUCUGUAAUCCGGUAAGAGCUGUUUUCCUGACCAGCCACCUUCCCACUGUAUUCUCACGUGGCCUUUCCUCUGUGCACAUAUGGACAAAGAGUGAGUGAGCUGUGGUGUCUCUCCCUUUUCUUUUCUUUUCUUUUUUUUUUUUUUUUGAGAUGGAGUUUCGCUCUUGUUGCCCAUGUUGGAACGCAAUGGCACGACCUCGGUUUACCGCAACCUCCACCUCCCAGGUUCAAGCAAUUCUCCUACCUCAGCCUCCCGAGUAGCUGGGAUUACAGGCAUGCACCACCAUGCCCAGCUAAUCUUGUAUUUUUAGUAGAGAUGGGGUUUCUCCAUGUUGAGGCUGGUCUCGAACUCCUGACCUCAGGUGAUCCACCCACUUCGGCCUCCCAAAGUCCUGGGAUUACAGGCGUGAGCCACCACACCGGGUAGUGUCUCUCCCUUUUCUUAUAGAGAUACCAGUCCUAAUGGAUUAGGGCCCACCCUUAUAUCUCAUUUAACCUUAAUUACCUCCUUAAAGAGACUCUCUCCAAAUAUAGUCACAUUGGGGUUUAGGGUUUUAACACAUGAAUCUGGAGGUAACAUAAUUCAGUCCAUAACCAUAUGACUUAGCAAUUCUACUCCUAGGUAUAUAGCCAUGAAAACUGAAAAUAUAUGUUUAUGCAAAAACAUAUAUUCAUUAAUGUAUUAUGAAUACAUUAAUAUUCAUAAUAGUAUUAUUCAUAAUAGCCAAAAUGUGGAAACAGCCCAAUGUCUAUCAACUGAUGAAUGGAUAAGCAAAAUUGUGGUCUAUCCAUGCAAUGGAAUGUCAUUCAGCCAUAAAAAGGAAUGAAGUACUGAUACGUGCUACAAUAUGGAUGAAACUUGAAGCCAUUAUGCUAAGUGAGAGAAGCCAGACAUGCAAGUUCACAUAUUGUAUAAUUCCAUGUAUUGAGAUGCCAAGAAGAGGCAAAUCCAUAGAAACAGAAAGACCUAGUUGUUACCAAGAGCUAGAGGAGGUGGAUGGAAUGGUGAGUGACUAAUGGGUUUCCUUUCAGGGUGAUGAAAUGUUUUAGAAUUAGAUAGCACUUGUUGCACAACUAUGCGGAUAUAUGAAAAAUCACUGAACCGUAUACUUCAAAAGGGUGAAUUUUAUGUUACAUGAAUUAUACCUAAAAAAACCUUAUAAUACUAACAAUGUGAUAAUAUCAUGUAUCAAAUGUAUUGGAAGUGACAAAGCUAUAUUCAGAGGAAAACUCAUAGCUUUAAAAAAUUUAAACAAAAAAUAACUAAGCACUGAACUUGCCUAGAAAAAGACUUCAGAGGUUGGGUGGGGUGGCUCACACCUGUAAUCCCAAAACUUUGGGAGGCCAAGGCAGGUAGAUUGCUUGAGUCCAGGAGUUCAAGACAAGUUUGGGCAACAUAGUGAGACCCCCAUCUCUACAAAAAACACAACAUUAGCCAGGCGUAGUGGUGUGCACCUGUAAUCUCAGCUACUUGGGAGGCUGAGGCAGGAGAAUCGCUUGAACUCAGGAGGCAGAGGUUGCAGUGAGCCAAGAUCAUGCCACUGCACUCCAGCAUGUGUGACAGGCAGAGUGAAACUGUCUCAAAAAAAAAAAAAAAAAACUUCAGGAAAGCAGGAGAGUGGUAUUAAUAAAGAUAAAAUCAUAAAAUAUAGCCGGGCAUGCUGACGUGCACCUGUAAUCACAGCUACUUGGGAGGCUGAGGCAGCAGAAUCACUGGAACCUGGGAGCCAGAGGUUGCAAUGAGCUGAGAUGGUGCCACUGCACUCCAGCCUGGGCAACAGAGUGAGACUCCAUCUCAAAAAUAAUAAUAAUAAUAAAUCAUAAAAUAAGUGACGAAAGUAAAGAACAAUGGAAUUGAUAGGUUCAAGAGCUGAUUCUGUGUCAUAACCAGUAAAAUUAACUUCUGGCAAGGAUAAUUAAGAAAAAAGACAGAAAUCACAAGCAUACAACAGGAAGAAAGAGAAAGUGAAGUUAACUCCAGGUACUGAGGAAAUGUAUAUACAUUUCUAAUAAUAAAUUAGAAAAAGAACACCAAAAUAUUUUCUAGGAAAGCACAAAUUUAUAAAACUGAUCAAGACGUUACAGUAAAGAUUAAAAAUAUCAAACCACCAGGUGCAGUGCCUCACGCCUGUAAUCCCAGCACUUUGGGAAGCCAAGGCAGGCAGAUCAUCUGAGGUCAGGAGUUCAAGACCAGCCUGAUCAACGUGGUGAAAUCCCAUGUUUACUAAAAAUACAAAAAUUAGCUGGGCGUGGUGGUGGUUGCCUAUAAUCCCAGUUACUUGGGAGGCUGAGGCAGCAGAAUCACUGGAACCUGGGAGGUAGAGGUUGCAGUGAGCUGAGAUGGUGCCAUUGCAUUCCAGCCUGGGCGACAGAGACUCCAUCUCAAAUAAAUAAAUAAACAAAUAAAUAAAACUUUCUCUCCAAAAAUGGCAUAGAACCCAGAAAGUUUCCCAGGCAGUUUUUUAUGCCUUCAAAGAAUAUGUAAAUGUGUUGUUAAAACUGUCCCAGAGCAGAGAAAAAGAAGAAAUUUUUCCAGAUACCUUUACCAAAGCCAGCAUCCCCAUAGUGCCAAAACUUGACAAAGAACACAUUACAAAACACUAAUCUCUCUUAGAAAUGUAGAUGGGAAAAAUCUUAAAAUAUAAGCAAAUGAACUCAGCAAAACAUCCAAAGAAUAAUAUAUCUAGUAGGGUAUAAUCCAGGAGUGCAGAGAGUUCACACUGAAAUAUCCAUUAAUAGAAUUCAUCAUACCGACAGGUCAAAAAGGAAAAAAUUUGGUCAUAUUGAAAAUGCUUAAUAAGCAUUUUAUAAAAUUAACAUCCAUUUCUGAUUUUUAGAAAAAGUUCAAUGAAGCAUUAUAUGGCCUAGGGAUUAAAGGCACAGGGCUUUGAGGUCAGACAGACCUGGGUUCCAAAACCAAUCUAAGAUGAGUUUCCUUUCUUUUCAUCUUUUUUUUUUUUUUUUUUUUUUGAGGUGGAGUCUUGCUCUGUCACCCAGGCUGGAGUGCAGUGGCACGAUCUCAGCUCACUGCAACCUCCACCUCCAGGGUUCAAGAGAUUCUCCUGCCUCAGCCUCCCCAGUAGCUAGGAUUACAGGUGUGCACCACCACGCCUGGCUAAUUUUUUUUAUUUUUAGUAGAGACGGGGUUUCACCAUGUUGGCCAGGCUGGCUCAAACUCCUGACCUCAAACGAUCCACCUGCCUCGGCCUCCCAAAGUGCUGGGAUUACAGGCGUGAGCCACUGUGCCCAGCCCCGUUUCAAUGAAUUAAUGUAGAAAAUCAUAUUGCACAGUGCCAAAUACAGCAGCACUAGAUCAGUGGAAGCUUAGUAUUUUUAUUGAGAAAAUGGAAAUAGAAGAGUAUUUCCUUAACAUGGCUUCUAAAUCUAUCUGUGUCAAAACAGUUAAGAUUGUUAACAUAAGGCCGUGCACGGUGGCUCACGCCUGUAAUCCCAGCACUUUGGGAGGCUGAGGCGGGUGGAUCACCUGACGUCAAGAGUUCGAGACCAGCCUGGCCAACAUGGCGAAACCCUGUCUCUACUAAAAAUACAAAAAUUAGCCGGUUGUGGUGGUGUGUGCCUGUAAUACCAGCUACUCAGGAGGCUGAGGCAGGAGAGUCGCUUCAACCCAGGAGGCGGAGGUUGCAGUGAGCCAAGACUGAGCCAUUGCAUUCCAGCCUGGGUGAUAGAGCAAGACUCCGUCUCAAAAAAAAAAAAAAGAUUGUUAAUGUAAAAUGCCAGAUAAAAGUUAGUAUUACAUAUACCAUCAUGCAUUGCUAAAUGAUGGGAAGAUGUUCUCAGAAAUGCGUUGUUAGGUGAUUUCAUUGUUAUACAAACAUCAGAGUGUACUUACACAAACCUAGACAGCAUAGCCUAUGACACGCCUAGGCUACAACCUGUACAGCCUGGGUGACAGCAUGUGACUGUACUGAAUACUACAGGCAACUGUAACAGAAAGUACUAAGUGACAGGAGUCUUUCAGCUCCGUUAUAAUCUUACAGGAUCACCAUCAUAUAUGCCAUCCAUUGUUGACCAAAAUGUCUUUAUAUGGUGCAUGACUGUAUUAAAACAAAAGGGAUUUUAUAGGUAGAUAGUUACAAAUAUGAAUACAGAGAUCAAGAUAGACAGGAAAAAUUUUCUGGACGUAUAUACUCUAAGAUAUUAAUAGUUGUUUUUAUCUAUGUAAUAAGAUUAUGGGUUUUUUCUUCUUCUAUACUGAAUUUUUAAAAAUGUGAUCCUUUUGUAGUUUGCAAGUGUGAUGAUUGGGGAUUCACACUCGUAUGUGAGAUGUGUCACCCCCGAACCUUUUCACGUUGGCAAAAUACCCAUCUGACAUGAAAGAAAGAUGGAAAAAAAGAAUUUUUAAAGAUGUAAAUGCAAUAGCAAAUGUUAAAUCACAAUAGAGACAAUAAAAAACAGUACUGUUCCAGAAACCCAGACAAGCUGGAAAAUCUCCAAAAGGCAGUGGAAAUGGAUUAAGAGCUCAAAAGGAUAAGGGAAGUGACAAGAUUUGAGAAUCAGAAAAUGAAUGUAAAACCUAAGGCUUAGAGAUAUUUUUAAGAGAUAUAUUUGAGCUAUCAGAAGUUCUAGUCAAAGCAGUGGCUGAAUAAAACUUUUUUUUUUUUUUUAAGAGACAUAGUCUGGCUCUGUCACCCAGGCUGGAGUGCAGUGGCACAAUUAUCACUCGCUGCAGCCUCAAACUCCUGGGCUCAACUGAUCCUCCUCCUUCACCCUCCUGAGCACCUGGUACUACAGGCACACAUCACCAUGCCUGGCUAAUUUUUAAAAUUUUUUGUAGAGACAGGGUCUCACUAUAUUGCUCCUGGCCUCAGGCUCCCAAAGUGCUCAGACUAAGGGCAUGAGCCACUGUUCCCGGCCUGAAGAAAACUUUUCCCGGGAAAAAAAAAAGUUGUGCAAAUCAAAAGGUUUACUCAAUCAAAAGAAAUCCAUAUUGGUAGCCGGGCGCAGUGGCUCACGCCUGUAAUCCCAGCACUUUGGGAGGCCAAGGAGGACAGAUCACGAGCUCAGGAGAUCGAGACCAUCCUGGCUAACAUGGUGAAACCCUGUCUCUACUAAAAAUACAAAAAAUUAGCCGGGUGUGGCUGCAUGCCCCUGUAGUCCCAGUUACUCAGGAGGCUGAGGCAGGAGAAUGGCGUGAACCCCAGACGCGGAGCUUGUAGUGAGCCAAGAUCGCCACUGCACUCCAGCCUGGGCAACAGAGCGAGACUCCUCUCAAAAAAAAAAAAAAAAGAAAGAAAGAAAGAAAAAGAAAAAGAAAAAAAAAAAAGAAAUCCAUAUUGGUUAAAUGAUUAUUUUCAGCCUGGCAUGAGGUGGCUCAUGCCUGUAAUCCCAGCACUUUGGGAGGCCAAGGCGGGUAGAUGACUUGAGGUCAGGAGUUUGACACCAGCCUGGCCAAUAUGGUGAGACCCCAUCUCUACUAAAAAUACAAAACUUAGCUGGGUGUGGUGGUGCGCACCUGUAAUCCCAGCUACUCGGGAGGCUGAGGCAGGAGAAUCACUUGAACCCAGGAGGCAGAGGUUGCCAUGAACUGUGAUCACACCACCACACUCCAGCCUGGGUGACGAGCAAAACUCCAUUUCAAAAAAAAAAAAAAGAAAGUCUGGCUAGGCGCGCAGUGGCUCACGUCUGUAAUCCCAGCACUUUGGAAGCCUGAGGCCAGCAGAUCAUGAGGUUGAGAGUUGGAGACCAUCCUGGCCAACAUGGUGAAACCCCGUCUCUACUAAAAAAUACAAAAAUUAGCUGGGCGUGGUGGCAUGCACCUGUAGUCCCAGCUACUCGGGAGGCUAAGGCAGGAGAAUCACUUGAACUCGGGAGGCAGAGGUUGCAGUGAAUCAAGAUCGCGCCACUGCACUCCAGCCUGGUGACAGAGCAAGACUCUGUCUCAAAAAAAAAAAAAAUUAUUAUCAACAGUAGGUUAAGCAGGUUAAAGAAUUAUUCUAACAUCCGUGUGCAUACGUGUACAUGUCAUAUGUCCAAGUUAAGUAGAAAAGAAUGAAAAUAACCCUAGCCUCAGACUUCUUGGCAACACCACUGCCAAAGACAGAAGCGGGAUCACAGAAAGCAGGGAUGCAGGGUGACAGGCCGACCCUAUAGGCUCGAUUAGGAAGGGAGUCAGAAACCAUACCACUCGCUUAUCUUUCUUGCAAAGAAUACAAGCAUUACUUGAAGGUCCACCCCAGCUGAGAAGCGAAUCAAAAGAAACUCUCAGGAAUGAAGGUGUGGUGUGAAAAGGUUGUAGGUCUUCACUUAUUCACCUCAUGUCCAGACUCAGAGAUGUAUUGGCUGGUGUGUUCCAUCGCCCCUACAGCCUAACUCUACAAGCUUCCUUGCCCUUUCCCGGGACCAGGAAAGGAGGUGGCCAGAUGCAGCAAAACCAUGCAGAGGCCGAGGGUUGGAGGUAAGGGACACAGGGCCGGAUCCGGCUUCCCGAGACAGAGGGAAGGAAGUAAAUUCGGAUUCCUACUGACAUUUUUUUAAAGGGAAGGUAAGAGAUUAAGGGACUUUCCACCUCUUUUUCCCUGAGAAAUCAGCGGCGAGGCCAACUGCAGAGCCGUGAGCGGGACAGAGGCUUUGUGCAAGGAGUCCAGGAGAAAAGCGAGCACACAGGUGCUUCCCGCAGACGCAACAGAACCGCGCGCCUCCCCUCUGGCCCAGUAGUAAGGGGACGCCUGCAUCCUCAGUCCCUCUCGCACACUCGGGAGGGCGACUGACGCUGGGGCGUCCGGGGGGGUGACUUUGUGUCCCGGAGAGGGGCGGGGUGCGUGUACAGAGGAUGGCUUCUCUGGGGUGGGUGGGUGGGGCUCCCGCAGGACCGACGGGGCGGCCCCAAGAGGGCGCAGGGGCGGCAGGCGCGGUGGCCUCGGGGUGGGGGGCGCGGACGGCCUUACCCCCGGGCCCGGUGGAGACGGUGACCUGCGCGUAGGUGGUUCCCGCGGCGGCCG
rnacentral:lncRNA from 10 species